ensembl:lncRNA
UUUUAAACAUUUUUUUAUUUAUUAUUUCACCUUUAUUUAACCAGGUAAGCUAGUUGACAACAAGUUCUCAGUUACAAUUGCGACCUGUCCAAGAUAAAGCAAAGCAGUGCGACACAACAGAGUUACACAUGGAAUAAACAAGUGUACAGUCAAUAACACAAUAGAAAAAAAAAUAAUGUCUAUAUACAGUGUGGGCAAAUGGCGUGAGGUGGUAAGGCAAUAAAUAGGCCAUAGUAGGGAAGUAAUUACAGUUUAGCAAAUUAACACUGUGAUAGAUGAUAGAUGAUGUGCAAGUAGAAAUACUGGUGUGCAAAAGAGCAGAAAAGUAAAUAAAAACAAUAUGGGGAUGAGGUAGGUAGAUUGAUGGGCUAUUUACAGAUGGGCUAUGUACAGCUGCAGCGAUCGGUUAGCUGCUCAGAUAGCUGAUGUUUAAAGUUAAUGAAGGAAAUAUCAGUCUCCAUGUUACUAAUACAAGUAUCCUGUGUGUGUAUCCUGUGUGUUCUUUUCUCUCCUUCUCCCCUCACAGGUGAAAAUCAUCACUCCCCAAUCAGACAACAAUCAAUCAUCAAUCAGAAGACAUACCUCCUCCUGUUUCCUACCCUAUCACAGUUCCUUUCCCUUGGUUUAAAAACCCCAUCAGUUGUUUGCUCUAGAGCUCAAUCUCUCUGUAAAUGCCAUGCUAAGAUACUCCAGGAGGCGAAGGAGGAGCCACAGGAGUUGGAGCGAGCACUAGCUAGCAAGCUCCAUGAGCAGGAAAAGCUGAUGGCUAAUGGCUUCACAGAGAAAGAGGCAGCCAUGAAUGAGGAGAUACAGAGCCUGAGAGAGAAGGAGGAGGCCAAGCGUGAGGAGAAGGAAGAGCAGUCUUGUAACUUCAGAGCCAUAGCACAGGGUGUCAUGGAGAGUGUCAGCAAUGGCUUAGGUCCCUACUUUAACUAUAAGAAAGCCUGUGAGCAACGCAAGACGAUUGUGUUCAAGGAGCACAUGACUCUCAAGCAAGACGGCCACACCCAAACUCAAAACAGGAGCAGUUGGCAACUCUAAACACAACUCUGCCCAAAGUCAACACAGGUACAACUGACAAAAGCCCUGGCUCAGAGGUCUAUAGGAUUCACCAGAGAUUGGUCAAUGGUCCAGAUCAGCAGCCACACCUUUCUCCAGUCUCAACAUUAACCAGAAGAGCUACUAGGAAAUAGUGCAACAGAAAGACUGCUGUGCAACAACAGUACAAUGGGGCCAAACCAGCUGUCACUUCACAGAAGUCAGUUCCUCAGUUUAUAACCAUUAAUUUAUCAUUCUGAUAUAAUUAAAUAUUUAAAAGGUUAUUACAUACCAUUCUUAGAAUUGUAGUUAAGAUGUGUGCUUUGUUUUGUUCUUGGAUGUAGGGUCAAGUAAAUUAGCUUAACUUGUUUUGAAGUCAAAUUUGGCUAGAAUGGAACUGCUCAGCUUCAAUGUGCUUUUAAAUUCAGGGUUGACCAUUAUCAUGUUUUGUAAUUGUUGUUUAAAUAAACCUUGCUUCAUCUCUAUUUCUGCCGCCAUUCUAAAAUGGCAGCAGUUUUACGGGUGCCCAACCAAUUGUGCUAUUAUGUGGGGGUUUUUCGCGUUAUUUGUAACUUAUUUUGUACAUAAUGUUUCUGCAACCGUAUCUUACGCCAGAAAAGAGCUUCUGGAUAUCAGGACAGAG